CUUCAUAUUUAGUGUAAAUCCAAACAGCAACGCUCCUGAGUUUGUGUCCCACGUCACCUUCAGUCCGCUCAGAGCAGAGGAAUCAUUUCCAUAGAGAGGAGGCUUUGCAUCGUCAGCUGAUCCUCCACUGAACUGAGAAGCUUUAUAGUCCUGUGACUCCAACUCUGCAGGACUCAGACCCGUCAGUCGACCACAACCACCAUGACUCUCAUCACCCUCCUCAUCUGGACGCUGGCCUGCUGCAGCUUCACAGGAUGCAGCGGCCAGGUGACUGUGACUCAGCCUCCAGUCGUGACAUUUACUCCAGGAUCCACUGUCACACUGACCUGUAAAACCAACCCGCUGUUUAUAGCAAUAAUUUUUUGUUCUGGUACCAGCAGAAACCUGGACAGGCUCCCAAGCUUCUUAUAAAGUAUGCAACAGCUCUUAAUUCAGGAACUCCCUCUCGAUUCAGUGGCAGUGGCUCUGGUUCUAGCUUCACCUUAACCAUCAGCGGUGUUCAGGCUGAAGAUGUUGGAGAUUAUUACUGUCAGAGUUAUCAUAGCGGUCCAGUGUUCACACAGUGAUUUAGAGCCGUACAAAAACCUCCCUCAGUUUAACUGAAGUGAAACUGGUCUGCUGCAGCUGCACAGAAAAUAACUGGUCCAGUAAACACAACACAAGUCUUGAAGCAGAGCGACAAUGAAGCUAAACACAACUGAAACAAACUCCCAGUUUUAAAUGUUCAAAAAUCUCCAAACAAAGCCCCAUGAAACCAACUUUGUCAAAUGUAUGUUUUUUCCUUUAUUUAAUAGACUUUAUACAUCACUAUCCUGUAUGUGGAUGCACCGGUCUGCACUUUAUCAUUUUGAUGAAAUAAUUUUUGUUUGAAGAUUGUAGUGAUGUGGUUCAUGUGUUUCUUUGUAGGGGGGUGUUUGGGUCAAUGUAGGCUCCCCAGGUCCCUUUUGCCUGAGGCCCCUAAAGUCCCUUGAAACACCCCUGGAGUCCCACAAAUGAGUUUUCAUGGUGAUUCUCUGGUGGAGCAGUGAACGCUGCGUUGACCGGCCGAGUUGCACGUGUUGUAAACGGAGCUGUAUCGUAAAAAACCUGCCUCAACUAGUUGCUCUACAGAAUGAGUUCUAAUAGAAAACUACAAUAAACACAGAGAAUAUAUACGAUGUAUUAUAAAACACAUUGAGCUCAUACAACCAGCACAUCCUGCAAGUUUAAAACCAGAAUAAUCAGAAAAUUGUGGUUAUUUAUCAAUUUCAUUUUGUGACUAAAUGCUGCCAGAUAUUUAUUUAUCGACUUUGAUUGUCAUUUACAUUCUGUUACACUACAUCAAAUAGUUAAUUGAUGAUUAUUAUAAUCACACAUUCAAAAGUGUAUUACCAUUAAGCACUCACACAUCAGAACAUGGAUGGAACAGAAUAUCUAAUUAACUCUGAUGCUAAAUGUGUAAUUUCCCUUUAAUUUCUGACGUAAAGUUUUUAAGUCUGUCACUAUACUAAUAUUAAUUAUGAGGAAAGUCCUACAAACUACUAAUGUGAUACGUUUGUGAUAAUAAUUUUUGUCAUAAUUUUUUUCAAUGUUCAACUCAAAAGUCAGAAACUUGAUUUUCAUGCAGAUCCACACAAUAGAAAUUACUGUCUAAGUAGAAGUAAAACACAGAUUUACAUUAAUAUCUUUUGCCGCAGAAAAAAUAACACAGAAGCAGAUGUUGGUGAUGAUAUAUUUUAUUUUAGUACAAUAAAAAUAGAAAUUUGAAGAACAAAUGACAUGAGAAGAUGAAAUAUUUAUUCUUGUUUCAAAAGUAGCACAAUACAGCAUUGGACUGUCAUAAUGAGUUGAAGAAAAGACAUGAAGACAUGCAGAGCUGCAGUAGAACACAUGUAAAUCAAACGGACCCACAGUAGAGCACAAUGACUCCAUCCGGUCGUCUCUCUACUCUGAGCAGAGGUCAGGGUCCAGGGUUUGAGUGACAGGGCUCUGUCCGUCCAGACUGGCCUCACAGCUCACUGAGCACGCCUUCCUCCACUUCUCUACUGGGAGGCUCAAGGUGCUGCUCCAGCUGUAGUGGCCGCCCCCCCCCAGGACCCCCGGGCUGUGAGACACCCCUGAGGAACUGCUGCUGCCCCCCACCUUCCAGCCCAGGCUCCAGGCUGAGGGGAAGCCCCCGCUGGCCAUACACACCAGAGUGACACUGCCCUGCUGCAGCUCUUCACUGGAGGGGGGGAGGAGGGUCAGGGUGGGCCGCACCACACCCACUGGAGGAGAGAGAGGGGAG